UACGGGGGGAGCAAGCGUUGUUCGGAUUUACUGGGCGUAAAGGGCGCGUAGGCGGCCACCGCAAGUCGACUGUGAAGUCUCCGGGCUUAACCCGGGAACUGCGUCCGAUACUGGAAGGCUUGAAUCCGGGAGAGGGAUGCGGAAUUCCAGGUGUAGCGGUGAAAUGCGUAGAUAUCUGGAGGAACACCGGUGGCGAAGGCGGCAUCCUGGACCGGCAUUGACGCUGAGGCGCGAAAGCCAGGGGAGCAAACGGG
rnacentral:rRNA from 1 species